AUGGUUAGCUGGCCUGACAUCUGCAAGCCUAGGGAUCAAGGAGGCCUCGGGAUCAUGUGCUCCAAGCGCAUGAAUAUCGCCCUCCUAUCCCGCUGGCUCUGGCGCAUCUCGCAAGGCCAGGGGGGCCUUUGGCUUGACAUCAUCUGGAACAAGUAUCUGCGUGGUCAACCCCUUGCCUUUUGUCAGAGAUCUGGUGGCUCACAGUUCUGGUAG
rnacentral:rRNA from 1 species